CAUAGACUCAUACACUCUCCGGACAGUUUAUUAGGUAUACCAUAAUAAUGGCUAUUGAAGCAUGUAGACAGGCAUCGAGGCUUUUAGUUACUGUUCGAUUAAACAUCAGACCGGACAAAACUAGUGCCCUAAGUGACUGAGCCCGGUAUGAUCAGUGCCUGGUGCACCGGUUCCAGUUCCUCAGAAACGGCCUCCUGGGCUUUUCACGCACGACAGUGUCUCGGGUUUACUGAGAAUGAUGCAACAAACCAAAACAUCCAGUCAGCAGCAGUCCUGUGGGUGAAAACAGCUGGUUGAUGAGAGGUUGAAGGAGAAUGGGAAGAAUCAUCCAGUCAGCAGCAGUCCUGUGGGUGAAAACAGCUGGUUGAUGAGAGGUUGAAGGAGAAUGGGAAGAAUCAUCCAGUCAGCAGCAGUCCUGUGGGUGAAAACAGCUGGUUGAUGAGAGGUUGAAGGAGAAUGGGAAGAAUCAUCCAGUCAGCAGCAGUCCUGUGGGUGAAAACAGCUGGUUGAUGAGAGGUUGAAGGAGAAUGGGAAGAAUCAUCCAGUCAGCAGCAGUCCUGUGGGUGAAAACAGCUGGUUGAUGAGAGGUUGAAGGAGAAUGGGAAGAAUCAUCCAGUCAGCAGCAGUCCUGUGGGUGAAAACAGCUGGUUGAUGAGAGGUUGAAGGAGAAUGGGAAGAAUCAUCCAGUCAGCAGCAGUCCUGUGGGUGAAAACAGCUGGUUGAUGAGAGGUUGAAGGAGAAUGGGAAGAAUCAUCCAGUCAGCAGCAGUCCUGUGGGUGAAAACAGCUGGUUGAUGAGAGGUUGAAGGAGAAUGGGAAGAAUCAUCCAGUCAGCAGCAGUCCUGUGGGUGAAAACAGCUGGUUGAUGAGAGGUUGAAGGAGAAUGGGAAGACUCAUGCAAGUUAACAGGUGGGCCACAAACAGACAAAUACCGGUGCAGGACAACAGUGGUGUGCAGAACGACAUCUCAGAACCCACAACUCGUCGAGAGGCCCGUUAUCAGCAACCAUCACUCAUGUGUUCCAA